rnacentral:rRNA from 1 species
CCAGACUCCUACGGGAGGCAGCAGUGAGGAAUAUUGGUCAAUGGCCGAGAGGCUGAACCAGCCAAGUCGCGUGAGGGAAGACGGCCCUACGGGUUGUAAACCUCUUUUGUCGGGGAGCAAAGCGAGUCACGUGUGACUCAUUGAGAGUACCCGAAGAAAAAGCAUCGGCUAACUCCGUGCCAGCAGCCGCGGUAAUACGGAGGAUGCGAGCGUUAUCCGGAUUUAUUGGGUUUAAAGGGUGCGCAGGCGGAAUGUCAAGUCAGCGGUAAAAUUUCGGGGCUCAACCCCGUCGUGCCGUUGAAACUGGGGGCCUUGAGUGGGCGAGAAGAAGGCGGAAUGCGUGGUGUAGCGGUGAAAUGCCUAGAUAUCACGAAGAACCCCGAUUGCGAAGGCAGCUUACUAAACUGUGACUGACAUUGAUGCUCGAAAGUGUGGGUAUCAAACAGGAUUAGAUACCCCAGUA